rfam:Verticillium longisporum isolate VL1 genome assembly, contig: scaffold_221
CAAUAUGAUGAACAUUUUUCAUACUACGUAUGUUGGAAUUACCGACUGAGUUUACCUUGAAGAAAAAAACGGCUGUUUCUGAUC